UACGGGGGGGGCAAGCGUUGUUCGGAAUUACUGGGCGUAAAGGGCUCGUAGGCGGCCAACUAAGUCGGACGUGAAAUCCCUCGGCUCAACCGGGGAACUGCGUCCGAUACUGGAUGGCUUGAGUUCGGGAGAGGGAUGCGGAAUUCCAGGUGUAGCGGUGAAAUGCGUAGAUAUCUGGAGGAACACCGGUGGCGAAGGCGGCAUCCUGGACCGACACUGACGCUGAGGAGCGAAAGCAUGGGGAGCAAACAGG
rnacentral:rRNA from 1 species